UACGAAGGGGGGCUAGCGUCGCUCGGAAUGACUGGGCGUAAAGGGCGCGUAGGUGGACAUCUUUGUCAGGCGUGAAAUUCCAGGGCUUAACCUUGGGGGCUGCGUUUGAGACGGGGUGUCUUGAGUGGGGAAGAGGGUCGUGGAAUUCCCAGUGUAGAGGUGAAAUUCGUAGAUAUUGGGAAGAACACCGGUGGCGAAGGCGGCGACCUGGUCCUUUACUGACGCUGAGGCGCGAAAGCGUGGGGAGCAAACAGG
rnacentral:rRNA from 1 species